rnacentral:lncRNA from 1 species
CCAUCAGCCAAUUAGCUCAGAGUUAUGGGCUCUGAGGUAACAGUUAUGCAAAUGUUUGUUCCACGGUAGGCUAUUAACAGCCAUAUUUUCUCGAUCAAGCUGACAGAGACUGAUGGGUGGGGGAAGAAAAGGAAAGCGAGCAUUUGUUUAGUUGAAACUUCUUUCCUGUUGGGUUGUAACGAAGCAUUCAGUGAGGAGAAGCACCAAGCUUGGUGUUUUCUUUAUCUUAUUCCAUGUGAGUGUGCUGAGUGAAUGAGAGGGAACCCCCCCCGCCCCCACCCCAGGGAAAUGCAGGUGAUGGAGAGGGGAGGAAAGACCAGCUAAGAAACUGUUGAAUCUGGACUGAAUUUAGCAGGCUGCUGCUGAAAGUGGUGGCUUUCCUGAUCGCUCAGUACACUGUCCCGUCACAGCCACAGGAAUCAAGAACCAACAUGGGGACCUGCUUUUGCUGCUGCCUCUCCUCUGCUAGGGCAACAGGGAGUGUCCGCUAAUAAUGCAGGAGGAUUAGGUCAAGUUCAAAUGGAGCACCAUUUAUACUUAGUCAUUAACACCUAUAAUAAAACUACAUAAUAACCAUAAAGAAUAUAUAACAGCCCUGUAAUGAUAUAAGUCAUGCUCAGUAGACCAGAAACUUUGUGUUUUUGUUUUUGUUUUUAUUUUUUUAGACCAGAAACUUUGAAGAAUACCUGAAACAUUGUUGAUGUGGAAGAAAAUAUGCUGUAUAUAUCCAGGUCCUGGUUUUGUGCCUGGCCCAUGAUAGCUAUUCAAGAAAUACUUGUGAAUGAACAAACUAAGAGUGGCCAAAUGUGAACCCAAGAGUCAAGGAAAGAAAGGAGUUUGAGUCUGUUGGAUGGUGCAAGUUGGAAGACGAAGAGGCUUCAGGGACAGAAGAAUGGGCCCUGACCAGGAGAGUGCCUCCUUCCUGUAGCAGCUAUAAAAAGGAGCCAAGAGUUACAACAGCCAGGGGCUCUGUGACCCCUCUACUCCAACA